AUGUGUAAUUCUCAGUAUAAAAGAUUAAAAAUCAAUUUACUUUUUAGAAAUAUUGCCUGGCAACACAAACAAAAAGUUUUACUAAUAUGAAACAAUGACAAAGCAUAUUUGGUGAAAACAACAUUUAGGCUAUAUAUACGAGACAAUAUAUAUUUGAAGAUGAUUAUGACAUUACAAACUGCCUGCAGACCUGCUCCAUGGUAGGGCGAGAAAUCGGGCUUUCAGUUAAGCAAGCAACUGCAAUCCUUAUCAUCGAUGCCACUUCUUGAACAAUGGUAUUUGUAGGAUGAGGGAGACGUUGGUCUAACUUAUCUAUCAAUGGCAUAGUAUCAAGUCUCAGGUCCACAACACUUUGUGAAGGUUGCUGCCACAAAUAAGUUACAAUAUCUCCAGGGUGCUUUCCAAAAAGUAUUUCCAAGACCUGCUCCAUGGUAGGGCGAGAACGCGGGCUUUCAGUUAAGCAAGCAACUGCAAUCCUUAUCAUCGAU
rnacentral:lncRNA from 1 species